GAAUAGAUAAACUGCAAGGGUAUCCGGCUGCCAUAGGGCAAACCGGAUUUAAAAGGGAACCGGGUGAAAAUCCCGGACGGUCCGGCCACUGUAAGCGGGGAAUUGCUUUUAUAAAAGCCACUGGAAAAAUCCGGGAAGGUAAAAAGCAGUAAGGAGCCGCAAGUCAGGAGACCUGCCUUUACAGCAAAUUCAUA
rnacentral:ncRNA from 1 species